rnacentral:misc_RNA from 1 species
GAAUGCUAUUAUCGUGGUUUCCAAAAAGACAAAAUUGCAAAAUCUCAGGAGCAGAAACCCCUCAAAAACCCUUCGGUUCAAGCCAGAAGCUACUCCUUGGUCCCAGAUAGUCUCGAGACGGAACCCCAAUGGGAGAAGUACAGGAGCAGCUGCAGCAGGACUCAGCCAUGAAAGUAGCUGCAGGAACCACUCAACCCACUGAACAAGACUACUCGUGGCCUGCAAUUAGGUUUGAUUUGCCUCCACGGAGAACUCACCAUUUCUAUAAGCAGUUCAGGACUGGUCCAAACCCUAAAAAUUUCCUCAAAGGCGUUAAAUGGUCUCCCGACGGUUCGUGUUUUUUAACGAGUUCGGAGGACAAUACCUUGCGUGUCUUCUCAUUGUAAGUUUUUAAGCUAUGCAGAGUAUAAUGCGGAAUACAAAAAUGGGUAUUAGAGAUUUUUCUCUAAUUCUUUUAUAGAUAAUGCAAUAACUUAGUACUUAUGAUUAGACCAGAUAAUGGUUGCAGCAGUGAUUCUAGUGCUUGUUCUUUAGAUUCUGAUGGAGGUAAGUUCAUGUUUUGUACAUUAUGAAAGAAAUUUAUUUGGGCGAUAGCAAAUGACUGUUUUUUUUCCCCAUAUGUUUACGGUUUUAAUAUUUUGGGUGUCAGAUUCCUAUGAGGCAAGCCUCGUUGUGACAGAAGGGGAAUCUGUUUAUGACUUUUGUUGGUACCCAUAUAUGACAGCUUCAGGUGCUUUCAUUGAAUUUUAUGUUCUUGAAUUUUUAGUUCAUUGCAUUUGCUUACAAUGGUUGGUGAUGUUGUUAGAUGUAUAUUUUGACUUGAAAAUUGCUUGGCUUUUCAGACCCUGUUAGUUGUGUGUUUGCUAGCACUACUCGUGACCAUCCAAUUCACCUUUGGGAUGCUUGUUCUGGCUUGGUAUUCCUUUCAUUAUUUUUUGUAUUGUGGUUUCUGUUUCCACCAUCAGAUGAAAUGAAUGGUUCUUUAUACUCUAAAUUGAACAUGGUAAUUGUAUGAAAACAGAGUUUAGGAUAUUUUGUUUGCUUAUGCUGGGUAUACUUUGACUGGCUUUUGUAUAAAUGAAGAAAACAGCUAUUUUAGUCCAUUUUUGGUUUAUGCUUUUCUUAUAUUUGAUCAUGGAUGCUGAUUAUUGCAGUUGCGUUGCACAUACCGUGCUUAUGAUGCUGUGGAUGAAAUUACUGCUGCCUUUUCAAUUGCAUUUAAUUCUGCUGGGACCAAGAUGUUUGCUGGAUACAACAAAUCCAUAAGAGUAUUUGAUGUACAUCGGCCUGGCCGAGAAUUUGAGCAGUACUCAACACUCCAAGGAAAUAAAGAGGGGCAAACAGGUAUAAUAUCUACCAUUGCCUUUUGUCCAACUCAUAGUGGAAUGCUAGCUACUGGUUCUUACAGCCAAACUGCUGCAAUCUUCAGGGAGGACAAUAUGGAACUCUUGUAUGUUUUGCAUGGUCAAGAAGGUGGGAUUACACAUGUCCAAUUCUCAAAAGAUGGAAACUAUCUUUAUACUGGAGCACGGAAGGAUCCAUAUAUACUGUGCUGGGAUAUGCGGAAAACUGUUGAAGUUGUGUACAAGUUAUACAGAUCCUCAGAACAAACCAACCAACGGAUUUUGUUUGAUAUUGAGCCUUUUGGCCGACAUCUUGGCACAGGUGGUCAGGAUGGUUUAGUACAUAUAUAUGAUCUACAAACUGGGCGGUGGAUAUCUGGCUUUCAGGCUGCAGCAGAUACAGUUAACAGUUUCUCUUUCCAUCCAUUCCUGCCUAUGGCUGCCUCUUCAUCUGGUCAUCGAAGAUUUCAAGUUCCUGAUGAUGGCAACGAGAAUUUGCUUUUGAAUGGUGAUGAAAACUGUGCUUCUGUGUGGAGUUUUUCCUGUGCUUCAGCAAUGGAGAAUGGAGGUGACAUCAGUGGUGGUAAUUUUACCAGUCAAUCAGAAAAUGAUUUCCAUCACCAACAGUAACCUUGAGCCCCUCUGCAAUGUCCUUCAGCCUAAGUGUUGACACCUUACAUAAUCUUAUGAUGUAACUGGCAAGAGAAACGUCAUUUACCUUGUUAUUGUGUAUUCUGUGAGUAGAUAUAGACCAAUUGAUGUCUGAUUUUGUUAAACCUUGACCAUACAACCCAAUUGACUGAAUAAUUAUCUGCAGCAAUAGUUGUAGUACAGUAAAUGCACUUCAACCAUUGAUCAUAGUGAGUCUUCCUUAAUCACAUAUCAAUGUGCAGCAUCCAAAUAAAGUUGAUCCCUUGAACAGCUGUGGUUGAGAUCCAGCAUCCAAGUCUCAGUUGGCUGCAAGUAUUUGAAAGAACCAAAUAAUUUUGGUACAAGAGGAUGACCAAAUUUGAGAAGUCAUCAAGGGCUGCCGAAAGAAAAGGUGUAUAGGUCCCAUGUAUUGUACGCUUGAUCUCUAUACCAUGUGAUGAGCCUCUCUAAAGUUUGCAUAUUCCUUAUCACCAUUUCGUGAUUUGAACCCCACCAUAAAUACUCCCCUCCCUCCCUCUUCCCUACUUGUAAUUACAGGUGCUAUUUUUAGCCUUCACAUUUCAUGUGAUGCUGAGGAACUCUACAUCCGAUGUAUCAAAUAUUCCUUUUCAGGGUUAAUUUUAUUUAUCUUUUUUUUUUCAGAGGGAC